GUCCCCGGCGUCCGGGCGCCCUGCAUGGAUCCCCCACCCCAGCUCCUGCUCCCCGGCGGCGGCCGGUGGGCAGAAAGACCGAAACCCACUCACGGCCGCCUGCCGAAUCGCGGCUCUGCUGUUUGUGGGGCGUGCUAGAAACGUGGUCCUAAAAAGAAUGGCGUCCAUUUACAUAAUGCUUUGUUUGCGUUUCGCAAGUUUCUUUCGGUUAAAGCCACAGAAACCCCACCUCCUGCCCUUGUGUCGUUUCCACCGCGGCACCCUUUUCCGACAUUAGAAACAAUAGUGUACGCCUGUGGAGGCCUCGUUUGUUCAGGGGCUGCCGGCCAGGGCUUCAGGACGUUUCUGCGGCUUUCCCCGCGCGGCCUGGGCUCCCGCGGCUGCUUUUCGGGCCCAUGGGCGCAGCCACUGCGCCAGGCUCAAGGGGGGCGGCCCCGUCAGGGCCCGCCAUCUUGGAAGGCCUUUUUUGCCGGUUCUUCCCGCUGAGGAAGUGUCGCUCAAGACGCUGGCCUAUGAGUUGUGAUUUCUGCCUUUUCCCCUUCCUCCUUGGGCUAAGCCAGACCAGAAAGGGCCCCGUGCGCAACGUGCUUCACAAUCUCUCAGGGAAAGCGGCUAACGUGGCGCUACUCCGCCUCCCCUGUUCCUUACCCUUGGGGCGGCCGCCAUGUUUCCUGAACACAAAAUGGCGACACGUGGUUAGCAUUCGUCGCCAACGAGAAAUUGGGGUCGGCCCGAAAGCUCUAGAAUGCACCCCUCUUCCUCCCCGGGGCCUUCCACCUCCGCGAGUUUUAUGACUUAAAAAAGCCCACAGGCUGGUCUGAAGGUCGGAGGCCUAAUUUUAACGCGUUUUCCUCCCUUUAAUUUGAAACGGGAACGCGAAUGACUGUAAAAUGUGGGCACAAUAUUUAAUCUCUCGCCUUUUUAAAGCUUAAUAGUGGAUAAUAGGGGGGCAGUAUCAAGGGAUAAUUUGGGUCCCCACAGUACCAAAGCAUUUAGAAACCUCUGUUUAAUUUAAGGAAUGAGAUAAGUUACUGCUUUUCUAGACUUCCUAGCAUGGGCUGUUGUGCUGGAGAGAACGAGAGCUACGAAGAGACUACAGUGCCUCUGACUUUUUCAUAGGACAGUUGGCCGAGGAAGACAAACAUAAAGAUGAAGUGCUUAAUUCAAGGUCACACAAUGUCGGGGAUGGACCUCCAGAUUUCCUUACUGGUGAGACGUGGUCUUGUAACACAGUGGUUAAGAAUGUGACUUUGGAGCCAGCCUGCUAGGGGCUGAAUUCUGACUCAGCCAUUUACUAACUGUGUGACCUUAGGUGGGUUCCCAAGCCUGUAAAAUGUAAGCCUUAUGCUGCUGAGGGCCAUCUUGCCACCCUGAGGGAAACGCUGCCUGAGAAUGAAACAAGCAUAAGUAAAAGCUGAGCUGUGAGAUGGAGCAAGAUGAAGGCCACAUGACAUCUUUGGAGCACCUGGAUCUAACUGUGCCUUAAGCUAGUCUAACCCUGAACAUUUCAUCAUUUCAUUGACAUGAGCCCAGGUUUUCUUUUUUUUUGGAUGGAGUCUUGCUCUGUCGCCCAGGCUGGAGUGCAGUAGCUCAAUCUCGGCUCACUGCAAGCUCCACCUCCCGGGUUCACGCCAUUCUCCUGCCUUAGCCUCCCAAGUAGCUGGGACAACAGGCGCCCACCACCACUCCCAGCUAAUUUUUUGUAUUUUUAGUAGAGACGGGGUUUUACCAUGUUAGCCGGGAUGGUCUUGAUCUCCUGACCUCAUGAUCCGCCCGCCUCGGCCUCCCAAAGUGCUGGGAUUACAGGUGUGAGCCACUGCACCCAGCCCUCAGGUUUUCCCUUUUUUUACCCCUCCUUUUGAAAAUUUGAUGUGGAAUUUUGCCACCUGCAGCCAGAAGAGUUUUAACUAAUCAGUGCCAUAAAUUUUAUAUAGUUCUCCUUGCAAAAUGUGGAUCAGCCUUUCUCAGCAAAUCCUUUGUCAUAAAGUGCUGAAUUGUAAGUUUGUCAUGAGAAUCACAUGAGAUCAUGCAUGUGAAGAACCUGGCAUUAUCCUCCUCAUAGAAAAAAACCAGUAAAUAUUAACUACAGGAAGCAAGGAAGGAGUGGGGUGAGGGGAAGAAGAAGGGGUACUGAUUUAAAAGAACCCUGGAGUCCUAAGGAUAAUCUAGGAACCCUCAGACCCAAUCCGAUACCCCUAUUCUAAAUGCUCCUAGUGCCCUGUACCUUCCCCUCAUAAGCCUUCAUUAUCAUUGUAAUGAUAUGUUUAUGUAAUAUUUUGAUUAAUGUCUCUCCUUCACUGACCUAGCAGUUCUAGCAGGGCAGUGAUUUUGCUGUGUUGCAUCCCCAGCACCUAGUCUGGUAUGUGGCAUUCAGCAUAUGUUUAUUGAAUGAAUGGCCAUGUGGUUAUUCAGAUCCUCCUUGAUUAUUGGGGUUAGGAUUGUGGCAGAAGUGGCAAAAUCAGGGAGAGUAGUCCCUGUCCCCUCUGUAUCUUAUACACUGCCCACACUCCCAACACACAUACACAUACAGAGAAUUUUGUCUCAAUUAGAUAAUUAACUUCUGCUUGGUUGUAAACCAAACCACUGGUUCUUAAACUUUCAUUGGAUCAUUUUAUUGAAGAAUUAAAUAGUGUGGUUCUGGCCUAAUGUCUGGAAAGCCUUGCAGAGGAGUGGAUUAGGUCUUUGUGAUAAACAGGCAGCCUUCCCUGCUCCUGUGUCUUUAUAAAAUCUAUUUAACUGGAGUAGUCCACCCUCCCUCAGGCUCUUACAGGAAUAUGUUGGAGGCUGUAGGAAGGUGGGAAACCGAGAGGGAAAGGACUGGGCCGCUGGAGACUUCACUCAUUCCCUAGCAAGAAACAAAAGCAGUAAAAGGUGGCCCGAGGACAACCUGAAGCUCACUCCUUCAGCACUUUUGGCUGGAGGUCACUUGUUGGAGCCCCACUCAGAGCUCAGCACACCACCCCACCAGCAGCCUCCUCCUCCCAGCUGAGGCUGCAUUUCAUCCCUUCCCCCAGCCUGCUUUCCCUGAGAUAGGGGAGUGUUUCCCAGGGCCCAUGUGACUUCCACUGGCAAGUGACGAUUACCAAUGGUUUACUAGUCAGUGAAACUACCAAAGGCUUUUGUGCUGUAGUAAUCCUUUUCCUGUUUAAAACUCUGGGGAUUUUCUAAUGUUGCCAAUAGUUUUUCAAGUCAGCAAUUACUGUGUGGAUUAUGUAAUGGCUCGGUAUUAAAAAUAGAAAAGACUGGA
rnacentral:lncRNA from 1 species